GCGACCGUAGUGUAGUGGUUAGCAUGUAACCUUGCCAAGGUUACGACCCGGGUUCGAGUCCCGGCGGUCGCA
rnacentral:tRNA from 1 species